AAUGGAGAUGACAGGCUCAGCAACUUGCCUGAACAUAUUUUGCUUACCAUCAUUGAUCGACUUGAUAUCCGCGAGGCUGCAAGAACCAGUGUCCUCUCUCGGUGGCGGCACCUCCCUGCUAUGCUCUCUCAACUUGUGAUAAUUGUUUGGGACUUCUUAGAUGCGUUCAAUUGCAACAAUGAUGAAAUUGUUCGGGGCAACGAAGCUGUGGUUAAAGUGACAAAGAGCAUCCUGGCACGCAGAGAUUUAAGCCGAAAUACCAUCCAGUUUCUGUGCAUGACGUUCUUCUUGAGGGAAGAUGAUCCAAUAUUGAUUGGGCAUGCUGUUGCUCAUGCCAUGGCAACCCAGAAGGUUGAGAUAGCCGAGUUCACAAUUUUGACGGAGAGAGAUAAUAUGUUUUGUGACGAUAAUGAUCUGGUCAUCUAUGGGCGACGAUUCAUGUUGUUCUUUGAUGCAUGUCCAAAUGCAUUUGGUGGUCUCACACGCCUUAACCUAGAGAAUUUGAGAUUUGGUGAAUCAGACAUCCCUAACGUCCUCAACACUUGCAAACGUUUGAAUCAUCUAGGAUUGUUCUAUUGUGACUCAGGAAGUUGGACCGUGCUGCAAGUUGAGCACGCGCAACUCAGUGAGCUCGCUAUUGUUAAUUGUUGUUUUGAAAGAAUUGAGCUCAACUCACUUCCGAAACUCACACGCAUCGUCUUUGAGGGUUGGAUCUCUUUUGAAGAUCAACUAUCUUUUGGUUAUGUCCCGUUGCUUGAUACUGUAAGCCUCACAAAUGCCAGUCUUAGUUGGCAUAAGAUGAUCAAGUUAAGCAAGUUUCUUAGGCGUACUCCAUCUGUGAAAUGCUUGAAACUGGGAUUUAAUUCUGAAAAGAUUUGGGUUCAACCAGAAUGUCUGACGGAAAGGCUGGCAUAUGUGUUCCACCAAUUAAGGUUUGUGAAUCUAACUAAUAUGCCUGAGGGGUAUGAUCUCACCUGGACAUUGUUCAUACUUAAAGCCGCGCCGAACCUGAAGGAGCUGCACAUGAGUGUAUGGGAUCAUCUGCGUGAAAUGAAAACAGACGCAAAGGAGAGGAAGUCACUCACGUACAGUGAGAAUAAGGGUGCAGAAUGGGAAUCAUCUGGAACUGCUUUCCAGCAUCAGAGUCUGGUCACGCUCGCCAUCUUCGGGUUCCGAGCUCGAGACUACAUGAUGAACUAUGUCAGGCGUGUCAUGGAAACAGCCGUCAAUCUAAAGGACGUGUUCUUGUAUGAUCGGUUGAUGUGUGAGAAGUGCCGUAACGUCCUGUCGCAGUUUCCGCCUAAGUGGAAGCAGGACUGUGUGGAGAAGUUUAUCACAAACGGGAUCAAUUCGUCUGCCAUAAUGCAAUUCCAGACCAUCGGCUAUUUAAGGCCUGAUCAUGUUGAUAAGCUGUGGUUCCUGUAG
rnacentral:rRNA from 1 species